rnacentral:miRNA from 1 species
GGGUGAUUAUUCUCAGAGUUC